rnacentral:misc_RNA from 1 species
AUGAAUUGUCAAGGGGGGGUUGUUGCUGGCCUCUCAUCUGAUAAGCAUGUGCACGCCCCCUUUUUACAUCCAUCCACACCUGUGCACCCUCUGUAGUUCCAAAGUGGGAGAGCCCGUAAGGCUUUCACAAUCUGGCACUAUGUCUCUUUACAAACGCUUUAUGUAUAGAGUGUCGGCUCAGCGUAUAACAAACGCAGAAAUAUAAAACAACUUUCAGCAACGGAUCUCUUGGCUCUCGCAUCGAUGAAGAACGCAGCGAAAUGCGAUAAGUAAUGUGAAUUGCAGAAUUCAGUGAAUCAUCGAAUCUUUGAACGCACCUUGCGCCCUUUGGUAUUCCGAAGGGCAUGCCUGUCUGAGUAUCGUGAACAUCUCAACCCACCCAGCUUUUUAUGGCUGCGUGUGGGGCUUGGAUUUGGAGGUUCUUGCAAGCCACCGCGGCUAAGCUCCUCUUGAAUUUAUUAGCCGGUCGGCGAAUGACGUUGGCUUAUACGGUGUGAUAAAUGUCUACUCCGUACGUCACGACAGAAACCUCCCACAAAAAUGUGGGGUGCUGCCAGCUUAUAAUACGCCAUCCCUGUCUCAUGGUAGGGCUGACAUGUGAAAAUUUGAUCUCAGAUCAGGUAGGACUACCCGCUGAACUUAGGCAUAUCAAUAAGCGGAGGAAUCGUAGCCUUGGUCAUUUAGAGGAAGUAAAAGUCGUAACAAGGUUUCCGUAGGUGAACCUGCGGAAGGAUCACUAGUGAUUAAAUCGAGCGUGUCUUCAUUGACCGCUCACCCUUCUCACCAUCCACAUACACCUGUGCACUGUUUAGCCUGAGCCGGUUUUCCGGUCCAGGUUAUCAUUUCAUACAAACUCUAGUCUUAUGAAUGUAAACGUUUUAAUAACAUAAUA